rnacentral:rRNA from 1 species
GAUGAACGCUGGCGGCGUGCCUAAUACAUGCAAGUCGAGCGAACGGACGAGAAGCUUGCUUUUCUGAUGUUAGCGGCGGACGGGUGAGUAACACGUGGAUAACCUACCUAUAAGACUGGGAUAACUUCGGGAAACCGGAGCUACUACCGGAUCAUAUUUUGAACCGCAUGGUUCAAAAGUGAAAGACGGUCUUGCUGUCACUUAUAGAUGGAUCCGCGCUGCAUUAGCUAGUUGGUAAGGUAACGGCUUACCAAGGCAACGAUGCAUAGCCGACCUGAGAGGGUGAUCGGCCACACUGGAACUGAGGCACGGUCCAGACUCCUACGGGAGGCAGCAGUAGGGAAUCUUCCGCAAUGGGCGAAAGCCUGACGGAGCAACGCCGCGUGAGUGAUGAAGGUCUUCGGAUCGUAAAACUCUGUUAUUAGGGAAGAACAUAUGUGUAAGUAACUGUGCACAUCUUGACGGUACCUAAUCAGAAAGCCACGGCUAACUACGUG